CACUCCAAUUCGAUAUAGUAUCUCUCCUUCCAACUCCUUGAGAUACCUAUGACUUGAUUUCUUCAUAACUUGGGUAGAUAGGAUGUCCUAAAUCAAGACCUAAUUGCUCUUCUUCCUUAUGUUUCUUUCAUUGAAUAAUGGUUGGGAUAAAAUUAUGUCUCAUUAUCUACUUCUUUGUCUGAAAACACUUCGUGUUUACAUUCAAAGGGGCAUGUUGUAGACACUUAAUUUUAUCCCUUCCAAAGUCCAAUUUUAUCCAUUUUUUAGCUCACCUUACUAUACAUCGUUAUCCAUGUGAUUUAACCCACAAAACUACGAAAAAUAACAAUUCUUAACAAAAUUCCUAAUAAAUUUUAUCUUAUUUUAAUCAUCCUCACUACAGUGCCACACGUCACUCCACCCCAUUCCCCUUCACGUUUUCUCCUCUUUAACAAAUUGACAAUAGGGGCCCACAGGGAAUAAUUCCCACAACACAUACACAACUACAAAAAAGGAAGGGGCCCACUUGGAAUAUUCUGGGUUUUCCAAUUCAAUAACAGAAUGGAUACACAGUAACAAAAAGGGAGUCUUCCCAAUUAACACACCCAGAAGUCUCACACGACACACACUGCCAUACACAUACUCUCACCGACAGGAACACACACUCUCACCGGCCGAAAAAUACACGCGCACAGUAAACGAAGAGCAACACAGUGAGAACGAAAGAGAGAGAAAUAACCAGAGAAAGAAUCGGAGAGAAAGAACAAUUGAGGAGAGGGGGUGUUUUCUCCGAUGAGUUUAGCCUGAGAAUCGCUGCCAAAAACCCUAAAAAAAACACGGUUGAGCCACUGUUCCGUCAAGACUCACCGGAAAACGAACACAUCAACCGUAUUUCGGCCAAACCCACAUCGAACAGCUUUCAUCUCUUAUUUUUUUAGUUUAAAUCUCGCCGGAAAACAUUUAUUCCGGCCACCAGAUCGUAUGAAUCGGUUGUUUUAGGUUGACUUCGGUUGAGUCUCGUCGAAAACUGUCACACAGGGGGUCUGUUUUUCCCUUUCAAGCUUCAAUUUUAACUUCGGGUUUCAUUUGUUAUUCGUGAAGUCUUGUUCGGAUUGGAUUUCGAGAUUUUUCCGUUGGAAUUGGUUUGUUGUGAGGUCGGAUUUGAGGUUUUUCGAGUGCGGUGUUAUCUCCAAUAUAUUGAAAUCGAUAUUUGAGAUCCAAUUCUAACUCUCUCUUUUCGUUUUGUUUGAUUUGGUGCAUUGAUGUAUGAUUGUGAGUUGUUGGGUUGUGAUUGGAUGAUCUGUUUGAGGUUCGAUAUUGUUUAUCUGUGAAUAAUUAAUCACGGUAUGAACCACUUUAUGUGAAAGUGAGUAUAAAAGGGAAUUUGAGGUGGAAUUGAGAAGUUGAUAAAAGAGUAAAUUUAGAUUAACUUUGGUUUAUUAUUAUUUUUCUUUAAUUCGGAAUGAGCAUGAAUAUUGUUGGAACAUGAUAGUAUCAUAAGAGGAUGAAAUUGGCAGGCAAAUGAUAGGCUGGGUAGGCAAAUUUGAGAAUAAUAAUUUGUUGAGUGUUUGAAGAUGUGUGUGAAUGAUUCAUUAUAUUUUAUCACAUAAAAAUUGAAAUUAUACUCGUUUGGCCAGGAAAUGCCCCGAGGGGUUUGUAUUGAUUUAUUCGAAGAAUGCUCCAAAGUAUCAUGUAUGCAGAGGAGGCUCGUGAUCAAGGUCCGAGGUAUCGGGUAAGGCAUUGGAGUGUAGUUUUAGGAUUUGCUUAGAAUAAGAUUUAUGUUUUUGCAUUUUUUUCUAUUUUUGGAUUGUAUAAUUGGACUGGACACUAUAUUUUGGAUUGGUUUUGUUUUGUGUGUUUGAUUGUUUUAUGUGUUGUGUAGUUUAUAC
rnacentral:lncRNA from 1 species